GCCCGCUGUAGCGCCACAGCUCUUUGGGCGUUGAUUCUAGGGUCAGGGCCCUCACUCACACUGCUGGAAGGUUAAAGUCGACUUCACGCUAGUUUAAGGAAAUAUCUGACGCUGAUAACCAUGUCCCAAGCACUGCUCUAAGUUCCCAAUGUGUCCGGAAUUGGUGGGUUCUUGGUCUCACUGACUUCAAGAAUGAAGCCACGGACCCUCGCGGCUGGAGUGCAGUGACAUGAUCUCAGCUCAUUGCAGCCUCAACCUCCCAGGCACAAGCGAUCCUCCUGCCUCAGCCUCCUGAGUAGCUGGGAUACAGACGGUGACUCAAUCUGCCCAGGCUGGAGUGCGGUGACCUGAACACAGCUCACUGAAGCCUUGACUUCCCGGGUUCAAGCAAUUCUCCUGCCUCAGCCUCCCAAGGAGCUGGGACCACAGUAGAGACGGAGUUUCACCACGUUGGCCAGGAUGGUCUUGAUCUGCUGACCUCGUGAUCCGCCCGCCUCGGCCUCCCAAAGUGCUGGGAUUACAGGCGUGAGCUACCGCGGUGGGCCCAUGCUGACUGUUUUAUCCAUUCUUUCUGGGUUGCUGUGUAACGUGUGUCAGGCCUUGUAUGAAAUGUGCCUCAGAGGUUGCCCCCUCCAGGGGCUUUGCAGUUUCUGAAGCCUUCUUCAUGCUGGUGCAGGUGCUGGGGCUCAGCACUUCCUUCAGGGGCUGAACAACCCCAAGUUUUAGCAGACUCACCUUGGAAUUUCUUUGGCCAUAUAUUUCCUUCAAAACCUUCGGAUGACUUUGGGAGACUGAGGCAGGAGGAUUGCUUGAGCCCAGGAGUCUGAGACCAGCCUGGGCAACGUAGGGAAACCGUAUCUCUCUAAAAAAUAAAAAUAAAAAAAUUAGCCAGG
ensembl:lncRNA LINC02482 long intergenic non-protein coding RNA 2482